GUGUCAGCCGCCGCGGUAAGACAGAGGGUGCAAACGUUGUUCGGAAUUACUGGGCGUAAAGCGCAUGUAGGCGGCUCGGAAAGUCGGAUGUGAAAGCCCUGGGCUCAACCUAGGAAGAGCAUUCGAAACUCCCGAGCUUGAGUUCUGGAGAGGAAGGCGGAAUUCUCGGUGUAGAGGUGAAAUUCGUAGAUAUCGAGAGGAACACCGGUGGCGAAGGCGGCCUUCUGGACAGUGACUGACGCUGAGAUGCGAAAGCGUGGGGAGCAAACAGGAUUAGAAACCCUUGUAGUCC
rnacentral:rRNA from 1 species